CAGGGAGACAACACAAUGAUUUUGAUGCCUGAGUGCUUUUAUUCUUAGGUCGAAAUCCUGUCACCUUAGGUCGAUCGGUACCUCAGCUUUGAAGUCAAGGAUCAACAGCAAUGUUGAUUGCUUGAUGGAGAUUUUCAGUUCCUAAAUUUUGUCUAGGUCACACCCCAAAAGGGAUGAGACUCCUGGGCCAUUAGCUCAGGUGGUUAGAGCGCACCCCUGAUAAGGGUGAGGUCCCUGGUUCAAGUCCAGGAUGGCCCAUUCGGUGUUGGGGGUUUAGCUCAGUUGCGCCCAGCGCCUGCUUUGGAAGCAAGGUGUCAGAAGUUCCAAUCUCCCAAUGCUCCACUGACCUACCUUGAUUCCCAUCUCCGGAUCUGAUGGAGAUUGACUGUGAUGGAGUGGUGUCCGCACGAUGACGCCAGAUGACCGUCAUUUCCAGGUCUAUGUGAAAGUUAUGAAGAUGGAUGACAAGAUGCUGGGCUCGAAUCAAAUGAUCUGACAAUUGAUGAUCUGAUUUGAAGUUCUAGCAGAGCUUGACAACUGCAUACGUGAGUCCGGAGAAACAGAGCAUCUUACAGAUGCAUUGUUUUGAACCUGAUCUUAUGAAGGGAAUUGUAUCUAGAAUAUGAAAUUGUUUUGAGCAGAGCCGAUAGUCUCGAGCGAUCUUAGAUUGGUGUCUCGGCCCUCUUAGUCUAAUUAUGUUUUUCUGCAUAAGAACUUGACAUCUUGCUUUACACGACGUAGCCAGUUAGCAAGGGGAAUAUG
rnacentral:tRNA from 1 species